rnacentral:lncRNA from 1 species
GAAACGAGAGUAAUCAUCAUGAGUGCAGUAAAACAUGCGCAGUAAUAAAUGCUGAUUACACGUUCUCCUAUUAAAAUGUUGUGCAUGUAAACCCACUAAUAAUACAUCCGUUUGAAACAUAUUCUCUUCACAUUCUCUGAAUAUUUGAAAUAAAAAUCAAGAUCAAAUCUCUCGAAUUUUAAACUCUGAGAUUUAAGUCAAAGAAAAUAAAUUUCUGCAAACCUCAGAAUAAAGACAUAAUUUUCAGAAUAUUCAUCAAUAAAUCAGAGUUUGUUCUAAAAUCCAUAGCUCAAUAAUGUGCCUGUGAAAUGUGUGUGUGGUCAUGUUAAAUCAGAGAAUAUAAAAUUUCACAAUUUCGUAAUUAUAAGGUAGACAAAAAUAAUUUAUGCAAACUCUCAAAAUUUAGACUGAGACAUACUCUGAUGAUUCAGAUAAAAUAAUAUAACCCCCUUUUUUUUUUUCUUUUUUCAAGGACGCUUCUCAGUGUAAGUGAGGCACGACCUUUAAAUAUACUAUUGCAUUAGUAUUUCUCCAGUAAUCAGAGAUUGUGACUGGUCACCAUAGAUUAUAAAAUCUUAGCAAUUACUUAAUACCAGCAAAUGUUUGGU